rnacentral:lncRNA from 1 species
AGUGAAACCACUGCCUUUAAGUGUUAAAGAGUUUACCAGACCUGAAUUUCAACACCUUUGUGAGGAUUCCACCACACCAGCUCCAGAAUUCCAGACCUCCCCACCCAGGCCACCAAUUAAGCUACAGCCUCUGUGCUCACUCCCCUUUCUUUCCCUGUGCGAUCGCGGUCUCCUGUGUGCACUUGGAACUGACUUCCUCGGAAUUAUUUAGACAAGACAUGCUAUAAAGGAAACGUGAUGAUUCAACCAAAGAAAGCAACCUCACAGAAGGAAAUCUCUUCAAAGAAGAUUGAAAAUAAAGUCUCUUUAGACAUUACUGGAAAGAGAGUAACUUCAAGGAGUACUGAAAAGAAGGAUAUCUUAAAUCUACAGUCUGACCUAUGGUCAUCUUACUUGAAAGAAAGUGCAGGUAAAGGGGGCAAAGAUGCAGUCAUUGCAAAGCAGGAGAAAAUUGAUGACUAUCUCCUUCAAGAUAUUAAUAAGUUGUCAGAAUCACUGGAUGAUGGUGAAGGUGAUACCAAUGAUGAAGACAGUAACCCUAAAAAAGAUACUCGUGCCCCAUUAGAGUUAAUGGCAGAAUUCCUGAGAGCUGAAAUGGGCCGAGACUACCACCUGGCAAAAAAAUUAUGUCAGAUGAUUCUUAUCUAUGAGCCAGAAAAUCUUGAGGCCAAGGAAUUUUCCUUACUUAUUGAAGAAAUGUUGCUGAAAGAGGAAGCUCAGAACCUUGAGGAAAAUGAGGAAGAGAGCGAAGAAGACAGCAGCACUGAGAGUGAGGAAAGCAGUGAGGACAUGAGCGACGAGAGCUCUGAUGAAUGCAAAGAUGGGUCGUGA